GUCCCUCUCUUAAAGCAAGUGUUCAGAGUCAUGAGCAGAUGGAAGAUACAGGCGGAGGCGUCUUACCUGUCACCGUUGGUAUGUCUGGUUGAAACCUGCGACAAGAUCAUGACCUUCCCAAAGCCAUCUAGGAGUACAGAGAAAAAAUGCACAGUGCAUGAAAACUGUGAAAUGGAGUCCCACCACCAGCUAUGGUGGGGAAAAGCCUUUGAACGCCACCUGGCUCUGACAUUCUUCCUUUAGGAAUCAGUCCUGAUGCAACUCUCAGCAACCUGUGCCGAGAUCUCUGUGGAAGCAUUGUUUGCAAGCGCAGAUAAUCAGAAACCACCCAAAAAAAUUAUAAAGAAGACAUUGGGCAAAUCAACAAUGGUAUGCUGAGAUUUGGAUUGCCAAAUUGACCUUGAAGUGAAGGAGGCAGAUUUGCUUGUAAUAACACUGAAAGUGAUACAAGAUCUACUUGAAGUGCAGAAUAUCAUGUUCACCAUGAGACACUGUUUGUGCAGCAUGCCUCCUAUUGUGUCAACAAUGUAAAAGGGAAAUGUCUCAAAACGGAAGAAGACGCCUGUGGGCAACAGCAUCUGGAGAGUGAUCUGGGAGCUGGAAAGAAGACUCACUUUUCACUUUAGAAACUUGGGCACUGUAAGGAUAUUUUGGGCUUGG